CUUAGAAUCUGAAGUUGGUUGCGACAUUGUUUUCCAGGUUGGGGAUGAAACAUUUAAAGCUCAUAAGUUGAUACUUGCUGCUCGUUCCCCUGUUUUCAGAGCUCAGUUUUUUGGACUUGUUGGGGAUCCCAACCUAGAUAAAGUAGUUGUGAAGGACAUGGAUCCCUCAAUCUUCAAGGCAAUGCUGUUGUUUAUAUACACAGACAAACUUCCUGAUGUACAUGAGAUUACUGGCACAACAUCUAUGUGCACGUCCACCAACAUGGUGCAGCAUCUAUUGGCUGCUGCUGACCUAUACAAUUUAGAUCGAUUGAAAUUGUUAUGUGAAUCAAAGUUGUGUGAGGAACUGAAUGCUGAUACAGUGGCGACAACACUUGCAUUGGCUGAGCAGCAUCAGUGUUUGCAACUCAAGGUCAUCUGUUUGAAAUUUGCUGCAAAUCCAGCAAACUUGGGAGCGGUAAUGCAGUCAGAAGG
rnacentral:misc_RNA from 1 species